GUUGCCCCCGCGACCCGGCCCCGGAUAAGGGGUAGAUGAUGGAUGGAUGGAAAAAACCUUACACCCAAAGAGCAGGCAAAAUCUAAAUUGGAGAAAAAGACAAGGUCUCCCAGAGCAAAUUUGAGGAGACCAUGGAAUGAAGAAGAAAAGGCUGCUGUGGAAAAACACCUGGGGAGACUUAUAAAAGGGUGUCAAGCAAGAACAAUGCACUGACUGCAAAAUGAAAGAGCCGCAGGCCUUGGGUCAAAGAACCUGUAAAGACGUAAAGAACUUCAAGAAAAGAUCUGCUUCUCGAGUUCUUCAUUUUUAAAUUUAAAUUUUCCUGCUGGAGUAUUUUUUUUUUCAAUUCUUUUCUACUCUUCCUGAGCAGUGUUGUUAAAAAUGUUCUACUUGAGGUGAGAUUUAAUGUUGACAUGUACUUAUAAAGUUUUACAAUAUA